rnacentral:rRNA from 1 species
GACAGAGGGUGCAAACGUUGCUCGGAAUUACUGGGCGUAAAGGGCGUGUAGGCGGGAAGGCAAGUCGGGCGUGAAAGCCCCAGGCUCAACCUGGGAACUGCACUCGAAACUGCCUUUCUUGAGUGCCGGAGAGGAAAGCGGAAUUCCUGGUGUAGAGGUGAAAUUCGUAGAUAUCAGGAGGAACACCUGCGGUGUAGACGGCUUACUGGACCAUAACUGACGCUGAGGCACGAAAGCGUGGGUAGCAAACAGG